rnacentral:ribozyme from 1 species
UGUACAUACCUCAAAUGGAGAGGGAUGCAAACCAAGAGAGAAAAGAAAAAGGCGACGUAUCAUUCGUGUUUGGCCCUGUGUUUCUUUUUUGGCCCUUUUGCAUUCUCUUUUGUGUGUUUUGAACUUUGUGUUGUUU